GCCAGUGUGGCGUAGUUGUUUGAGUGUUGGACUAUGACUCCGGAGACCAGGGUUUGAUUCCCAGCUUGGCA